rnacentral:pre_miRNA from 1 species
GUUGUCGGAUUCACUUCAAUCCAUAUGUGUUGGUGUGGAUUGGGGUGAAAUUUAGUUCAAGUUCCACUCCAAUCCACCUCAACCCAUGUAGAUUGAUGUGAAUCCGACU